UUCGAUUUGGAUAACCGUGGUGAUUAAUGGUUCUGUUCGGUUAAUUAACUGUUGUCAAAAUAAUGGUCCAACUCAAAA
rnacentral:pre_miRNA from 1 species